AAGGUGCGGUAACACGCACUGGAGGACCGAACCGUUCAAUGUUGAAAAAUUGUCGGAUGAGUUGUGCUUAGGGGUGAAAGGCCAAUCAAGCCGGGAAAUAGCUGGUUCUCCGCGAAAUCUAUUGAGGUAGAGCGUCGGAUGAUUGCCGUUGGGGGUAGAGCACUGGAUGGUUGCGGGGGUCGCGAGAUCUACCAACACUAACCAAACUCCGAAUACCAACGAGUCUAGUCCGGCAGACAGACGGCGGGUGCUAAGGUCCGUCGUCAAAAGGGAAACAGCCCUAACCUACAGCUAAGGUCCCCAAGUCAUCACUAAGUGGGAAAGCAUGUGGGAUUUCCAAAACAACCAGGAGGUUGGCUUAGAAGCAGCCAUCCUUUAAAGAAAGCGUAACAGCUCACUGGUCUAAAUAAGAGAUCCUGCGGCGAAGAUGUAACGGGGCUAAAGUGAUGCACCGAAGCUUAGGGUGUGAUCGUUUACGAUCACGCGGUAGCGGAGCGUUCCGUAGGCCGUUGAAGCGAUCUGGUAAUGGGUCGUGGAGGUAUCGGAAGUGCGAAUGCAGACAUGAGUAGCGAUUAACAGUGUGAGAUGCACUGUCGCCGAAAUUCCAAGGGUUCCUGCUUAAAGCUAAUCUGAGCAGGGUAAGCCGGCCCCUAAGACGAGCCCGAAGGGGGUAGUCGAUGGGAACCACGUUAAUAUUCGUGGGCCUGGAGGUGUGUGACGGAUGGUGUAACUGGUCUGGGCUUAUUGGAUUGCUCCAGGCUGGGAAAUCGUCCCAGGAAAUAGCCCCUCCGUAUAGACCGUACCCUAAACCGACACAGGUGGAAUGGUAGAGUAUACCAAGGCGUUUGAGAGAAGUAUCCUGAAGGAACUCGGCAAAUUGCCUCCGUACCUUCGGAAGAAGGAGGCCCCACAUAAGCGCAAGCUCUUGUGGGGGGCACAGGCCAGGGGGUAGCGACUGUUUAGCAAAAACACAGGGCUCUGCUAAGUCGGCUUCAAGACGACGUAUAGGGCCUGACGCCUGCCCGGUGCCUGAAGGUUAAGAGGAGGUGUGCAAGCACUGAAUUGAAGCCCAGGUAAACGGCGGCCGUAACUAUAACGGUCCUAAGGUAGCGAAAUUCCUUGUCGGGUAAGUUCCGACCUGCACGAAUGGCGUAACGACUUCCCCACUGUCUCCAGGAUAUGCUCAGCGAAAUUGAAUUCUCCGUGAAGAUGCGGAGUACCCGCGGUUAGACGGAAAGACCCCGUGCACCUUUACUGCAACUUCAGAGUGGCAUUAGGAAAGAGCUGUGUAGCAUAGGUGGGAGGCUUUGAAGCAUCGACGCCAGUUGAUGUGGAGCCAUAGGUGAAAUACCACCCUGCUGUUUUCUGAUGUCUAACCUCGCACCGUUAUCCGGUGCAGGGACCCUCUGUGGUGGGUAGUUUGACUGGGGCGGUCGCCUCCUAAAGAGUAACGGAGGCGCGCGAUGGUGGGCUCAGGACGGUUGGAAACCGUCUGUUAGAGUGCAAUGGCAUAAGCCCGCCUGACUGCGAGACUGACAAGUCGAGCAGAGACGAAAGUCGGUCAUAGUGAUCCGGUGGUCCCUCGUGGAAGGGCCAUCGCUCAACGGAUAAAAGGUACGCCGGGGAUAACAGGCUGAUGAUUCCCAAGAGCUCAUAUCGACGGAAUCGUUUGGCACCUCGAUGUCGGCUCAUCACAUCCUGGGGCUGGAGCAGGUCCCAAGGGUUUGGCUGUUCGCCAAUUAAAGUGGUACGUGAGCUGGGUUCAGAACGUCGCGAGACAGUUUGGUCCCUAUCUGCCGUGGGCGUCGAAAUUUGAGAGGAGUUGACCCUAGUACGAGAGGACCGGGUUGAACAUACCUCUGGUGUACCAGUCGUUCCGCCAGGAGCGCAGCUGGGUAGCUAUGUAUGGACGGGAUAACCGCUGAAAGCAUCUAAGCGGGAAGCCUCCCUCGAGAUAAGAUUUCAUCGAGCCGUCGUAGACCACGACGUUGAUAGGCUGGAUGUGGAAGUGGAGUAAUCCAUGAAGCUAACCAGUCCUAAUUGCUCUGUUCGCGCUUAA
rnacentral:rRNA from 1 species